AACGAACGCUGGCGGCAUGCCUAACACAUGCAAGUCGAACGAGACCUUCGGGUCUAGUGGCGCAAGGGUGCGUAACGCGUGGGAACCUGCCCUUAGGUUCGGAAUAACUCCCCGAAAGGGGUGCUAAUACCGGAUAAUGUCUUCGGACCAAAGAUUUAUCGCCUUUGGAUGGGCCCGCGUUGGAUUAGCUAGUUGGUAGGGUAAAAGCCUACCAAGGCGGCGAUCCAUAGCUGGUCUGGGAGGAUGAUCAGCAACACUGGGACUGAGACACGGCCCAGACUCGUACGGGAGGCAGCAGUGGGGAAUAUUGGACAAUGGGCGAAGGCCUGAUGCAGCAAUGCCGGGUGAGUGAUGAAGGCCUUAGGGUAGUAAAGCUCUUUUACCCGGGAUGAUAAUGACAGUACCGGGAGAAUAAGCUCCGGCUAACUCCGUG
rnacentral:rRNA from 1 species